CUGUCUGUCUGUCUGUCUGUCUGUCUGUCUGUCUGUCUGUCUGUCUGUCUGUCUGUCUGUCAGACAGACAGACAGACAGACAGACAGACAGACAGACAGACAGACA
rnacentral:pre_miRNA from 1 species